UACGUAGGGGGCAAGCGUUGUCCGGAUUUAUUGGGCGUAAAGAGCGUGUAGGCGGUCAGGUAGGUCCGUUGUGAAAACUCGAGGCUCAACCUCGAGACGCCGAUGGAAACCAUCUGACUGGAGUCCGGAAGAGGAGAGUGGAAUUCCUGGUGUAGCGGUGAAAUGCGCAGAUAUCAGGAAGAACACCCGUGGCUAAGGCGGCUCUCUAGUACGGUACUGACGCUGAGACGCGAAAGCGUGGGGAGCGAACAGG
rnacentral:rRNA from 1 species